rnacentral:rRNA from 1 species
GAUGAACGCUGGCGGCGUGCCUAAUACAUGCAAGUCGAGCGAACAGAUUAGGAUUUUGCCCCUCUGACGUUUGCGUCGGACGUGUGAGUAACACGUGGAUUACCUACUUGUAAGACUGGGAUAACUUCGGGAAACCGGAGCUAAAACCGUUGAAUAUAUUGCACCGCAGGGCUCAAUAGUGAGAUACGGUUUUGCUAUCACUGAUGGAAUGAUCCGCGCCGGAUUAGAUAGUGGGUAAGGGAACGGCUUACGAAGGCAACGAUGCGUAGCCGACCUGAGAGGGUGAUCGGCCACACUGGAACUGAGACACGGCCCAGACUCCUACGGGAGGAAGCAGUAGAGACUCUUACGCAAUGGGCGAAAGCCUGACGGAGCAAAGCCGCGUGAGUGAUGAAGGUCUUCGGAUCGUAAAACUCUGUUAUUAGGGAAGAACAAAUGUGUAAGUAACUAUGCACGUCUUGACGGUACCUAAUCAGAAAGCCACGGCUAACUACGUG